CACGUAGGGCGCGAGCGUUGUCCGGAAUCAUUGGGCGUAAAGGGCGCGUAGGUGGCUUCUUAAGCGUGCGGUGAAAGCCUGGGGCUCAACCCCGGGUCGGCCGUGCGAACUGGGGGGCUGGAGCACUGUAGAGGCAGGCGGAAUUCCGGGUGUAGCGGUGGAAUGCGUAGAGAUCCGGAAGAACACCGGUGGCGAAGGCGGCCUGCUGGGCAGUUGCUGACACUGAGGCGCGACAGCGUGGGGAGCAAACAGG
rnacentral:rRNA from 1 species